rnacentral:rRNA from 1 species
AUUUGGUGUGAAUUGCAGGACACAUUGAGCACUGAUUUUUCGAACGCACAUUGCGGCCUCGGUUGCUACCCGGGGCCUCGCCUGUCUGAGGGUCGGAUGAUGCUUACCUAGACCUAAUGGGUCACUUGGUCGCACCAGACUUGUAAUAAAAAGUCUGCCGACCUAAGUUCCGAUACAUAUGAAUGUAUCGAACUAAUAUAUAUGUAUCUUGUCGUGUAAACCCAUCUCGAUUUGGGCAAAGACCUCUGACGAGGGAAGGCCGCGGGACACGCGAAGAAAUAUUUCUCGUACCGCUCGCUUUCCUUACUCGUCGAAUAAUGAAUUAUGGCUGGAAAAAAAAUAGAGUGUCUUCGCUGAUAACCAACGAUGAUGGGGUCAAAGAUAUAUUUUUUAUGUCGACCUCAGAUCAGACGAGAUGACCCGCUGAAUUUAA